UCCAUAUCAACCUUUACAUACGUUUGCGAAUCACACACAACAAAAAGCGGAAAUAAAUUGGUUCAAACAUUAAUCAUCCACCCAUAAGUUCAGAAAAAGGUGUUAAUGCGCCAAGUAUGAUGGUAGCCUCAUUAAUCAUUUAUUUCAUGACAGUCGUGAAAAGUACAUUUGUUGCAUGUUGGCGCCGAGAGUGACACAGACUUAGAAAAAGAGUACAAAAUCUGCAUGCAUUUUUUAUAAACGCUCCUGGCCAAGUAAACCGGCAAAUAUAAGUCUAUCCAAUCAGUAUUCAGAUAUGUCUGUCAAUAGCGUGGAGGACACUGAAACUAGCGCAAAUUAAAUUCCGCUCUCCGGAAAGAAAACCCAACGGUUUAAACAGUUGGAGCAUGUAAUAAUAUUAGUUUAGAUUGUUGCUGCCGUUAUCGAAUGAAUUUAUGUAUGUAUCUGACUCUCGCGUACGUGCUCAUUUCAUAUCAUCAGAACGUGUGAUCAUAUACAUAUAUGGGAAGGCACCUAAGAAUACCGAAGGUGUAAGUCACAACUGAGAACGACGUUUCCCGGGUUUUAUAGUGCACACUUGUUUGUACUCGUAUGCGUCUCGACUGGAGUUGGAUUCGCUUAUGUAAAUUUUCCUUUUCAAUUUGUCUAGGACCCCAUUAUUGGACAACGCUUUUUAAAUGGGAAUUUGCAGUCAAGUUGCGGGGUCAUGCCGUUUGACAUUUUACGUAAUUGCGGCAAGGCAACCCUACUUUGUCUAUAUUCGCAUCCACUUUCGCUUUCACCUGAGUCGGGCUUUUAUCGAAAAUGCUUGAGCGCAUCUUCAACUUGCCGAAGGCACAAGCUUCAGUGUUACACGAUACUGGCAUUGCACUGAGGUGACCAGUUUUCAACAAUUCAACCUUUACGGAAAGUCCAGUCAAACAAUGAUGGUCGACGCGGUAUUGAACUUCGAUAACCUCUUUAGGUUGCAUAACCACCAGUUGUGAAAAAUAUUUCCGUUGACCUCCACCUCUUUGGAAGCUUCCAUCGAUGAACAUGCUUGUUUUGGCGGUGAUUGCGAAUGAUUUUCCGGCGAAACCAAAUUUUAAUGAAAAUAUGUGCAUGUUCAUAUUGUCAUACAAAUAUACAUAUGUAUAAUGUUUUUACUAAGUUUUUUAAAUCAAUCUGAAUUUCCACCCCAUCUGGACGUCGAUUUUUCAAACUGAUAAAGCAUGCUUAGAAAGCAGCCUAGAGAACUUGAAAAAAUGGGUCAGGUUUAAUGUGCAUACAGCUGAAUAAAUGGUAUACACGAAACGGGUUUGUAUGACCCAUUUCAUGCAUACUUGGACAGGCCUUUCUGGAAUAAAAAAGAGAGAAACCCGAUUUUCUUUUUCUUCGGGUGCAAGCGGGGCCUUGUCGACUCAUGACUGAGAAGUCGCACAAUAUUGGCAAUUUGCAUUUCUAAACAGCUGUACAACCCGACAUGCCUCACCAGGAUAUUACCUAACAGAAAGACUGCGAGGGAAACCAGUUUGAAGAGUAGAUAACAAGUCUUUUAAAUACCAUUUAAAGAAACAAGUUUGACGGCAUAGCAAUGCAACAAGUGGGAC